rnacentral:snRNA from 1 species
GUGCUCGCUUAGCUUGCACAUAUACUAAAAUUGGAAUAACACAGAGAAGAUUAGCAUGGCCCAUGCACAAAGAUGACAUGCAAAUUCAUGAAGCAUUCCAUAUUUUU